GCCCACGGAGGCCUGGGCUUUGCCUGUGGCUCCCAACAGCCUGCUCUCCACUCAGAAGGUAGAGCAAUUCUGUCAGCAGGGGAGCUGGAUCUCGGUCUUUCCUGAUCGGAAGCUCUCUAAGGGCUGGUCACCUCACCCAGAGAGUGAGAGAUGGCAAUCUUACAAUUAAAAACAGUAGUCAGAAGAUGCACCCUUUUUUUUUCUGAGUCUGAUUAAAUGGGGAAGAGAGAUCUCAGCAGAGGAUCACAGAUAAGAAAAGAGCAGGGUAGAAACCCAAGCGUUCCAGCCUCCAGCCAAGAACAUCCGGACGGUGUCUUGCUGGCGAGGACGGACAAAGCAUAUUAAUGAGAAAUCCUGUUGUUAACGCUAUUCAGAUGUGGGCUCAGCACCAGUUUCCCCAAACGGAAUGGGUUUCAUUCACAGGGGAGGGAAAGUUACACACACGAGAACAAAGGCGUGUUUACAUUCCCCAUUCACUGCUGUAACCUGAGCUUAUGAGGCCACUUUCACCCGCACUGGCAGAAAUCCAGGAAGAGGUGGUGGUGGUCAGUCAAGGAACCAACUUGGGGACAGGACGCUGCCCUGCUCCAGUUCAGUGUGAGAGGCAUGACAAGGGUGUUCACCAAGGCUAAAGUCUAAAGAAUCAUCUAGCCAAGCAGUGCGAGUCUAACCGCGUCCAAGAUCACACAGAGCACGAGGUCUAACACUGAGAGGAAGACGGUGCACUCCACCCCAACCUUCCCCAACGAGACUGUUUUUAAUAUAACUGCAAGAGAAAUGCAUAUACACGUCUGCCCAGCUCCGUGGUGCUUUGGAGAAAUAACCAAAGGGGAGAUUUAAAUACCAGAUAUAUGCAAAAUCAUUCCCAAAGGAUUUUUACUCUCGGCAUUCAACCAAUGUUGAAUCAGCAAGACGCCUCCUACACAGGCAUCUAUGGACACCACCACACCAGGUCAACCUCUCUAACUUUCAUGGAAUUUUGUCACUUGCGACACAGGUAACUGGCCAGACCAUACAGUCCCUGCUGCCUGCUGCGUGGUCAUGGCUAUAGUCCUACUGAUCACAAUUGACCUGUCGGUCCCGGGGGUUCCCACCAGGCGCGCUCACUUCCUUCUGUGCUCUGCUGGCACCUGCCCGCUCCCUCUGCCCAAGCUGGUCCCGAGAUGAACCACUCCUAGUGCUGUAUCUGAUGCCUGACAGAACAAGCUGAAACUCUUCCCAAACGAAUCCUCUCACAA
ensembl:lncRNA